rnacentral:lncRNA from 1 species
UCUCAUGGAUAUCUAUAGAGAUCAGAUACUUGUGUGGCUCAAAAGGAAUCCAAAAAAAUAUCCACGAUCAUCGAAUCAUGGCGAAUACCUACCCGUGCAAAGAUGAAGAUGAGAUCUUCAUAUUUGCUGCAUGUAGAUCUUAAGAAGAUGAUAGGGAUGAUCUCAUAAGAUGAGAUCUAGAUGUGGCAUGCUAGAUAAAUUUAUUUCCAUUGCAUGUAUAAAAUUUUUAUUGAUCUAGCAUACAUGUUGCCCUUGUUUUUCUUUCAACUGAUAUUAGAGCAUAGGUUGCAUGAUCAUGUUCUUAGAUCUAAAAUUCAGAUUA